UGCAUCAAAAUAAUUCGAAAAUGAAUAUUUCUCUUACAAACGGAUAUUGGUGGCGCUGCUUACAACUCAAAAAGUCGUAAGGGAAGCAGCUGUAUCUAUAUGUAAGAACUAAAUAACAAGAAAUAGAAGCCUGUC
rfam:Bacteroidia bacterium 43-41 SCNpilot_bf_inoc_scaffold_509, whole genome shotgun sequence.